GUGCAUGAUAUCUAUGUUGUAAUUACAGUUAUCUAUAAUAAUAAUAAUUUGUUCAUUAUAGUGCAUUCACAAUAGUUAUCAUUGUGGUUACAAUUAUUCAUUAUGUGACAGGUUUUCAGGUGAGAUGAUCGAGUUUCAAAACAAAACAGUCUGCGGUUUUGAGAAGCGAUUCUCAGGAUGUAUGUGUGUUUCAGGGGCCAUCUGCACCUUCGAAGCAUACAAUAGAAGGAUGAUGGAAUAUACGAAGUUGUUGCAGGAAGUGACUUUGUCAUUACUAGAGUUGCAUUUCGAGACAACUCUUCAAAGUACUACAUAAAUGACCGUGGAAGUAAUCUUACAGAGGUCACUAAGAAAUUGAAAGGAAAGGGAGUGGACUUGGACAACAAUCGGUUUUUGAUUCUUCAGGGUGAAGUCGAGCAAAUUUCUCUAAUGAAGCCAAUGAUUUGUAUUUUCAGCAUUAUUGUAAUUGUAAUUGAUUGAAUGAAGGAUUGUAAUUGAAUGAAUGAAUGAUUGUAAUUGAUUAUAAUGGAAUGAAUGA